UUUGAGAAAAAAACUUAUAUUUCAGCCCGAUCCCAUUCGAUCUUGGAAGCUAAGCAAGGUCGGGCCUGGUUAGUACUUGGAUGGAAGACCACCUAGGAAGUCCAGAUGCUGUAGGCA
rnacentral:rRNA from 1 species